rnacentral:rRNA from 1 species
CCUACGGGGGGCAGCAGUGGGGAAUAUUGGACAAUGGGGGAAACCCUGAUCCAGCGACGCCGCGUGAGGGAAGAAGUAUUUCUGUACGUAAAGCUCUAUCAGCAGGAAAGAAAAUGACGGUACCUGACUAAGAAGCCCCGGCUAACUCCGUGCCAGCAGCCGCGGUAAUACGUAGGGGGCAAGCGUUAUCCGGAUGCACUGGGCGUAAAGGGAGCGUAGACGGCCAUGCAAGCCAGGGGUGAAAGCUCGGGGCCCAACACCGGGAGUGCCGUUGGAACUGCAUGGCUGGAGUGCGGGAGGGGCAGGCGGAAUUCCUGGUGUAGCGGUGAAAUGCGUAGAGAUCAGGAGGAACACCGGCGGCGAAGGCGGCCUGCUGGACCGCGACUGACGUUGAGGCUCGAAAGCGUGGGGAGCGAACAGGAUUAGAUACCCUAGUAGUC